GUAGGUGAACCUGCGGAAGGAUCAUUAUCGUAACAAAAUGUGUGAGGCAUGCAAGGGCUGUCGCUGACUUUUGACGCAAAAGUUGUGCACGCCAGAGUGUGUCCUCUCACAUAAAAUCCAUCUCACCCUUUUGUGCACCACCGCGUGGGCACCCCUUCGGGAUCAAACUGAUCCAGGAAGGGGGGCUUGCGUUUUCACACAAACCCCUUUUUAAAAAGUGUAGAAUGACCCCAUUUUUGCGAUAACACGCAAUCAAUACAACUUUCAACAACGGAUCUCUUGGCUCUC
rnacentral:misc_RNA from 1 species